CCUACGGGCGGCUGCAGUAAGGAAUAUUGGUCAAUGGACGAAAGUCUGAACCAGCCAUGCCGCGUGGAGGAUGAAGGUCCUCUGGAUUGUAAACUUCUUUUAUAUGGGACGAAAAAAGGCCUUUCUAGGCCGUCUGACGGUACCAUAUGAAUAAGCACCGGCUAACUCCGUGCCAGCAGCCGCGGUAAUACGGAGGGUGCAAGCGUUAUUGGGAUUCACUGGUUCGUAGGGGGGUUUAUAUGUGUGGAGUAAAAUCUCCGAGCUUAACUUGGAAACUGCCAUUGAUACUAUUAAUCUUGAAUAUUGUGGAGGUUAGCGGAAUAUGUCAUGUAGCGGUGAAAUGCUUAGAUAUGACAUAGAACACCAAUUGCGAAGGCAGCUGGCUACACAUAUAUUGACACUGAGGCACGAAAGCGUGGGGAUCAAACAGGAUUAGAUACCCCGGUAGUC
rnacentral:rRNA from 1 species